rnacentral:rRNA from 1 species
GAUGAACGCUAGCGGCAGGCUUAAUACAUGCAAGUCGAGGGGCAGCAGGACUGUAGCACUACAGUUGCUGGCGACCGGCACACGGGUGCGGAACACGUACGCAACCUACCCAAAACUGGGGGAUAGCCCGGGGAAACCCGGAUUAAUACCUCGUAACCUUUUUAAGUGGCAUCACUUGAUAAGUAUAGCUCCGGCGGUUUUGGAUGGGCGUGCGCCUGAUUAGGUAGUUGGUGCGGGUAACGGCCCACCAAGCCUGCGAUCAGUAACUGGUGUGAGAGCACGACCAGUCACACGGGCACUGAGACACGGGCCCGACUCCUACGGGAGGCAGCAGUAAGGAAUAUUGGUCAAUGGACGCAAGUCUGAACCAGCCAUGCCGCGUGAAGGAUGAAGGUCCUCUGGAUUGUAAACUUCUUUUAUGGGGGACGAAACCCGGAUAUUCUUAUCCGAUUGACGGUACCUCAGGAAUAAGCACCGGCUAACUCCGUG